GAUGAAGAACGCAGUGAAAUGCGAUAAGUAGUGUGAAUUGCAGAAUUCAGUGAAUCAUCGAAUCUUUGAACGCACAUUGCGCCCCAUGGUAUUCCGUGGGGCAUGCCUGUUCGAGCGUCAUUUACCCCCUCAAGCUCCGCUUGGUGUUGGGCGUCUGUCCCGCUUCGCGCGCGGACUCGCCCCAAAGGUAUUGGCAGCGGUCGUGCCAGCUUCUCGCGCAGCACAUUGCGCUUCUCGAGGCACCGGCGGGCCCGCGUCCAUCAAGCUCACCCCCCAGUUUGACCUCGGAUCAGGUAGGGAUACCCGCUGAACUUAAGCAUAUCAAUAAGCGGAGGA
rnacentral:misc_RNA from 1 species